GUCCGACUAGGUCCUUCCCCCGGAACUAGCCUGGUUUCUGGUUUCUGAUUUCCGGGCCGGAACCGGUCCGACCCUGGACUCGGUCCGGUUUUUAAGUCAGACCCGGGCUGGCUCUUACACCGGGUCCGAUUUUUAAGGGGGACUCAAUUUUUCUUGUGCCAGUUUUUGGGCCCAGUCUGGAAAAAGAAAUGGUAAAAAAAAAAAAAGUUCUCAAGCUCCUAAGGCAAAACUGUGAAGGAUCCAUAAGGACUUAGCUAACCCGUCUUGAAGCGUCUUGAAGCAGCGAGAAAGCGGCGAGCUCCAGGGGCCCAACAGCUCAAGGAAACCUUCUGAAGGAUCUAUUGAUAAAGGAACCUGGCUUUCACUGAUGAACAAUGGAUUAUUUACAUAUGUAUUUAUACGCCAAUAGCAGGAAGCUUUUAAAAUUAGAAUGAAAGUGACCUUUCCAUUUCUGGAAUGACCAAAUAGACCAGAAAUCAAAACUAAAUUUAUCUGUGGUUUAACUUAGUUGAGCUAGGAGGGGAAAAAAUAAGAUAAGUAGAUAAAGUGUGCAUUGCAAAAGUGAUUCCUUUUUCAGGAAUAAAACGAAAGAUUUAUAGUCAAAUAGCAAAGAGGCCCAUAUUUAGGGUUGGUUUUCAAUAGCAACAAGAGUCCAAAUUAGGAAUAAAAUAAAAUAGGAAAUAAAUGUCAAGCAAUGUGCAUUUUCUUUUAUAAAAUCAAUACCUGAAAAAUGACUUUCUAUACACUGAUAAAUUUCAUAAGAUUUUUUUAAAAUAGUAUGAAUGCAACCUGAGAAACAUUAUCUGAUUUUAAAAUGUAGAUUUAAAAGGUAGAUAACUUGGCACAAAAACAGACACAUAGACCAAUGGAAUAGAAU